GAAAAUCUGUCAACAACUUUUAUUUGCCUUGGGAUCAAGAGAUGGCAAGUUCAAAAUGUGCGACAAACAGAGGACGACAAUUCGUGAGAAGUGCGGCAAGACUUAAAAUUCUUACUGUGCAAUCAGUAUGCCGUUAUCAUAAAAAGUCACAUAGGUGAGGUGUCAUUAUUGUGUGUAUUCACGUGGGUCUUACCAUCUAUUGAGAGAUUUAAAGAGGUAUUUGGAAUGCACAUUCUGGUGAGUGACCCUAUAAAUGAAAGUUGUGGUGUACGUUAGGUUUUCCUUACCUCUACAAUAAGAAGACAAAAAAAAUAUGUCGCACAAUGCACCUAAGGAACGUUGAUUUUAUUGUUUGCGAUAACAAGAAAAAGGCUGAUGAGGAAGACUUGGAGAGAUUUCACUGUGAACAUUGUGAAAGAUCGUAUUUAAGAACAAAAUUACUUGUAUUGUCAGACCCGGGUUGACCAUGCUCAUGCUGGUCUAUCUGAGAAAGUUUCUUAGUUCAGAAUCCUUCUUAAGUGUCAAAGGAUAGGAUGCAGUGGCUUCUUGUUUGGACACCACCUUCAGUUGUAAGUUUUUGUUGGAUUGUCACAUUACAAAAAAGCGCAGUUCAGUGGCUUUCACUCUCGAAAAACAAGAACCCUAAGAACAUUAAGAUUCUAGUGCCUAGACCUCAGAAGUGGAAAUGGUGGUCCUGGCUGUUAUUGCGACCUCACCAGGUGAAGUGGCUGAGGUGGUGGUGAAAGAUACUCAACAGAAACAGGCUAUAAGUGAGAAAACACAUAAUUCUUACUCAAGAAGCACAAUAUGUGAUGCUAUCAUUCGUUUAAGAAACAUGACAAGACUAGGUGUUGCAAGCGAGAUUGUGGGGCUAUCUCAUACAGAAAAAUCAAUCCACAGUUGACAAAUGGGUGAAAUUCAUCCCCUAAAAUCUUUCAUGUGAACCCCUAGCAUUCCUUGGUAACCCUACUACCCUACAACGACUGAAUGAGAUUCUUUUGGAGGGGUGGGCUUGUUUAUAUCUAAAAGGCUGAUAUUGUUGAUAUACCGGGUCAACAAACCGAACUUUAGUUUCUAUGUUAAUUGGUUUGUUACAACCAUAGAUUGAUUUCUUGUUUCCUUUCAUGUGAAAAUUGAUGUGAGGCUACUUGGUUACUUAUGUAGUUGUGAGAUACAAAAACUAGGACAACAAAUUCAAACUUUUCAGUUAGACUGCAACUCCGCAACAGCAUAUUUCUCCUUAAGGUGAACAUCAUUCAAGAUGUAUAUAUUUCCUGAUGAGGGACUACUGUGCACAUACCACGGCUCAUAUUGGCAGUCUGUACGCCUCGAUUGUGUCCAUUGUUUUCUUCCUUUAUAGAUUUAAAAAAUAUCCUAAUCAGUAGUGUGUUUGAUGUUUGAAAUAAAUUUACUAAUCCAUGA